GAUGAACGCUGGCGGCGUGCCUAAUACAUGCAAGUCGAGCGAACGGACGAGAAGCUUGCUUUUCUGAUGUUAGCGGCGGACGGGUGAGUAACACGUGGAUAACCUACCUAUAAGACUGGGAUAACUUCGGGAAACCGGAGCCAAUACCGGAUAAUAUUUUGAACCGCAUGGUUCAAAAGUGAAAGACGGUCUUGCUGUCACUUAUAGAUGGAUCCGCGCUGCAUUAGCUAGUUGGUAAGGUAACGGCUUACCAAGGCAACGAUGCAUAGCCGACCUGAGAGGGUGAUCGGCCACACUGGAACUGAGACACGGUCCAGACUCCUACGGGAGGCAGCAGUAGGGAAUCUUCCGCAAUGGGCGAAAGCCUGACGGAGCAACGCCGCGUGAGUGAUGAAGGUCUUCGGAUCGUAAAACUCUGUUAUUAGGGAAGAACAUAUGUGUAAGUAACUGUGCACAUCUUGACGGUACCUAAUCAGAAAGCCACGGCUAACUACGUGCCAGCAGCCGCGGUAAUACGUAGGUGGCAAGCGUUAUCCGGAAUUAUUGGGCGUAAAGCGCGCGUAGGCGGUUUUUUAAGUCUGAUGUGAAAGCCCACGGCUCAACCGUGGAGGGUCAUUGGAAACUGGAAAACUUGAGUGCAGAAGAGGAAAGUGGAAUUCCAUGUGUAGCGGUGAAAUGCGCAGAGAUAUGGAGGAACACCAGUGGCGAAGGCGACUUUCUGGUCUGUAACUGACGCUGAUGUGCGAAAGCGUGGGGAUCAAACAGGAUUAGAUACCCUGGUAGUCCACGCCGUAAACGAUGAGUGCUAAGUGUUAGGGGGUUUCCGCCCCUUAGUGCUGCAGCUAACGCAUUAAGCACUCCGCCUGGGGAGUACGACCGCAAGGUUGAAACUCAAAGGAAUUGACGGGGACCCGCACAAGCGGUGGAGCAUGUGGUUUAAUUCGAAGCAACGCGAAGAACCUUACCAAAUCUUGACAUCCUUUGACAACUCUAGAGAUAGAGCCUUCCCCUUCGGGGGACAAAGUGACAGGUGGUGCAUGGUUGUCGUCAGCUCGUGUCGUGAGACGUUGGGUUAAGUCCCGCAACGAGCGCAACCCUUAAGCUUAGUUGCCAUCAUUAAGUUGGGCACUCUAAGUUGACUGCCGGUGACAAACCGGAGGAAGGUGGGGAUGACGUCAAAUCAUCAUGCCCCUUAUGAUUUGGGCUACACACGUGCUACAAUGGACAAUACAAAGGGCAGCGAAACCGCGAGGUCAAGCAAAUCCCAUAAAGUUGUUCUCAGUUCGGAUUGUAGUCUGCAACUCGACUACAUGAAGCUGGAAUCGCUAGUAAUCGUAGAUCAGCAUGCUACGGUGAAUACGUUCCCGGGUCU
rnacentral:rRNA from 1 species